CCUACGGGAGGCAGCAGUGGGGAAUAUUGGACAAUGGGGGGAGCCCUGAUCCAGCCAUGCCGCGUGUGUGAAGAAGGCCCUCGGGUUGUAAAGCACUUUCAGUGAGGAAGAACGCCUGGUGGUUAAUACCCAUCAGGAAAGACAUCACUCACAGAAGAAGCACCGGCUAACUCCGUGCCAGCAGCCGCGGUAAUACGGAGGGUGCGAGCGUUAAUCGGAAUUACUGGGCGUAAAGCGCGCGUAGGUGGCUUGAUAAGCCGGUUGUGAAAGCCCCGGGCUCAACCUGGGAACGGCAUCCGGAACUGUCAAGCUAGAGUGCAGGAGAGGAAGGUAGAAUUCCCGGUGUAGCGGUGAAAUGCGUAGAGAUCGGGAGGAAUACCAGUGGCGAAGGCGGCCUUCUGGACUGACACUGACACUGAGGUGCGAAAGCGUGGGUAGCAAACAGGAUUAGAUACCCUAGUAGUC
rnacentral:rRNA from 1 species